GGGCGUGUAGCUCAGCUUGGAUAGAGCGCUACCCUUCUAAGGUAGACGUCGCAGGUAGAUCCCUUUUCUUGAAAAGAAAAGGUCUCCAUCCCAAAAGAAAAAGAUUCAAGAAAGACCGAUGGAAGGCAAAGCCUCCCGUUAUGUUCACCGUUUGGGGUGCAGACCUUUGGCCGAAGGCUAAAGGGUUGCUGCAAUCGAAUCCUGUCACGCCCA
rnacentral:tRNA from 1 species